rnacentral:rRNA from 1 species
UACGAAGGGGGCUAGCGUUGCUCGGAAUCACUGGGCGUAAAGGGUGCGUAGGCGGGUCUUUAAGUCCGGGGUGAAAUCCUGGAGCUCAACUCCAGAACUUCCUUCGAUACUGGAAGACUUGAGUCCGGGAGAGGUGAGUGGAACUGCGAGUGUAGAGGUGAAAUUCGUAGAUAUUCGCAAGAACACCAGUGGCGAAGGCGGCUCACUGGUCCGGUACUGACGCUGAGGUGCGAAAGCGUGGGGAGCAAACAGG